GAUGAACGCUGGCGGCGUGCCUAACACAUGCAAGUCGAACGGAGAUUACGGACGGAAGUUUUCGGAUGGAAGCCUGUAAUUCUUAGUGGCGGACGGGUGAGUAACGCGUGGGCAACCUGCCCUAUACAGGGGGAUAGCAGCUGGAAACGGCUGGUAAGACCGCAUAAGUCGGUUAAAUCGCAUGAUUUGAUCGGGAAAUGAGCAAUCAGGUAUAGGAUGGACCCGCGUCCGAUUAGCCAGUUGGCAGGGUAAAAGCCUACCAAAGCGACGAUCGGUAGCCGGACUGAGAGGUCGGACGGCCACAUUGGGACUGAGACACGGCCCAAACUCCUACGGGAGGCAGCAGUGGGGGAUAUUGCACAAUGGAGGAAACUCUGAUGCAGCGACGCCGCGUGAGUGAAGAAGUAUUUCGGUAUGUAAAGCUCUAUCAGCAGGGAAGAUGAUGACGGUACCUGACGAAGAAGCCCCGGCUAACUACGUG
rnacentral:rRNA from 1 species